UACCUCAUCCCUCUUCGUCUUAUAGCACCUUUUCAUUCAAUUAGCUUCUUGAAAUGGAAAUGUAUAUAUUUUUCAGAGUUGCAAACCUCCACCUGAAAAAAUAAAUUUUCAAUGAUACUUUUCUUAUCCAAAAAAGAGCGGAAUGGAAACAUAGGAUUAAUGUAGCCGACCCCAAGUAGUUGGGAAAAAGGCUUGAUUGUUGUUGUUGUACUUUACUUAUCCAUAAAAAAUAACUCAUCUUCAUCAUCAUUGGUGCUCAGAUGCUGUUUUUUCUUCUUAUGUUUUAUUUCUCAAGGACUGUACAGCUGGUUUGUUGUCCAAUAACUGCUAAAAGUUUGCUUCUUUUGUGACUAGUUGCUGGACUAAUAGCUUAAUUGAUGUAAUUUAUUUGUGUGUCGGUAUGUUGAGGACAGACACGAUUGAUAUGUAUUAGACUCUUUCAUGCUCUUAAUUCACUUUUUUGGCUUUUAAAUAUUUUAUUAUUAUUAUUUAUUAUAAACUAUUAAGUGAAAAUGGAGAUGAUGGUCAAAAAGUAAAAGGUCUGAGCAGGAAUUGGUGUUGGUAGUAAUGAGAUGAAGGUGGGGAGAAAGGAAGAGGGCCCUAGUCUUUGUUCAAGUUAUGACAUUGUCACUGUCGCAACCUCUUCUACAGCAAGUAUACCAUGCUUAGGCUUGGUGAUGGGUUGGAAUAAAAGGCGUGGGUUGCAUUCUAGUAUUGAAUGCUAACUUAGACUUCUCCCAACAUUAUUUUACCCCUAGUUUUGAUAUAUCUCAUCUGCCAUCAUGCUUCCUGCAUUGAUCAAACCUUCAUGCUGAUCCAUUCACUGUUUUAUUUACUAUGUCUCACAACCACACUCCCAAGAGAAUUGCUUUUGUAUAAUUUUAAAUGACAUCUUUUGUUUGACACUUUUAUAUUUAGAAAAAAAUAUAGUUUCAUGUUAUUCUAUUCUAGAUGAAGGUUUAAUAGUGUUUUCAUUUUGGAAUAUCUUUUGAAAUCUGUAUGUGAUAGAAGGAUAUAUAAAUGUUAGUAGAUGUUUAUACAAUGGCAGAGUUAGGAUGAGAAUAUGCGUGAUUUUGAGGGCUUCAGCAUUGUUCCCUUGUUCAUUUAAUAUUAUCUUACAAUAUUGGUUAUUAUUAGGAAUUCUUUCGAUAACAAGUAAGAUGUUUGAUGCUUCCCACGCUCAGAUCCAAGGGUUAGUUUAUUAGUUAUCCCAAGAUAUCAAUCCCUUUUGUUAUUUACAGCUAGGAUUCAUGUUUUAGGGUUGUUGGAUAAGGACACUUGGCUCUGGAGCUUGGAGAAGCUUGUUUGAUGUGCCCUUUUCUCACCUACCAGCCAUUGUUUGUCACUCCUGUAGCUUGCGAGCCACAAUCUCAAUGUCCUUAGUUUAUGAACCAGUGUCAUGAUUCCAGAAGGUAACAGGUGUUUUGUCCAGCUAAUAUGUGUUGUUGGAAGAGCAGACUUGGACCUAUGACAUUAUUUCACAAAACAGUUGCCUUAAGGGUCUUGAAUCAUCUUCCACACAUUCUACCAUUAAGUUUUUUCCUCUUAUGUUUUUAUUUCUUAAGGAGUGUACAGCUGGUUUGUUGUCCAAUUACUGCUAAAAGUUUGUUUCUUUUAUGACUGGACAAAUAUCCUGGUUGAUGUAAUUUAUUUGUGUGUCGGUAUGUUGAGAAGAGACAUGAUUGUUAUGUAUUUAGACUAUUUCAUGCUCCUAAUUUGCUUUUUUGGCUUUUAAAUAUUUUAUUAUCAUUAUUUUUUUAUAAACCAUUAAGUGAAAAUGGAGAUGAUGGUCAAAAAGUAAAAGGUCUGAGCAGGAAUUGGUGUUGGUAGUAAUGAGAUGAAGGUGAGGAGAAAGGAAGAGGGCCCUAGUCCUUGUUCAAGUUAUGACAUUGUCACUGUCGCAACCUCUUCUACAGCAAGUAUACCAUGCAUAGGCUUGGUGAUGGGUUGGAAUAAAAGGCGUGGGUUGCAUAGUAUUGAAUGCUAACCUAGACUUCUCCCAACAUUAUUUUUCCCCUAGUUUGGAUAUAUCUCAUCUGCCAUCUUGCUUCCUGCAUUGAUCAAACCUUCAUGCUGAUCCAUUCACUGUUUUAUUUACUAUGUCUCAUAGACACACGCCCAAGAGAAUUGCUUUUGUAUAAUUUAAAAUGAUAUCUUUUGUUUGACACUUUUAUAUUUAGAAAAAAAAUUGUAGUUCACUAGGUUAUAGUUUCAUGUUAUUCUAUUCUAGAUGAAGGUUUAAUUGUGUUUUCAUUAUGGAAUAUCUUUUCAAAUUUGUAUGUGAUAGAAGGAUAUAUAAGUGUUAUUAGAUGUUUAUACAAUGGCAGAGUUGGAUGAGAAUAUGCAUGAUGUUGAGGGCUUCAGCAUUGUUCCCUUGUUCAUUUAAUAUUAUCUUACAAUGUUCGUUAUUAUGGGGAAUUUCUUUAGAUAACAAGUAAGAUGUUUGAUGCUUCCCACGCUCAAAUCCAAGGGUUAGUUUAUUAGUUAUCCCAAGAUAUGAAUCCCUGUCGUGAUUUACAGCUAGGAUUCAUGUUUUAGGGUUGUUGGAUAAGAGCAUCUCUAAUGCUAAAAUGCCAAAUUCGGAUGCCAAAUCUAUAUUUUGACAGUGUUACAGUGUCAAAAUGCUACAUUUUAGCAAUUCUGCUCUAAUGAUGAAAAUGCUAUUUUUUAACACAACCACUAUUCUUUUUCAACUACCAUUCCCACCAUUCAUAUUUGCAUCAGUAAUGUUAAUAUUAGACACAUUCCAAGUCAAGUUGUAGAUUAGAAGGAAACUAAAAUUAAACUUAAUUAAAAAGAAUCAAAAAUCUAAAAUAUCUGGUCAAAAAAGGACCCAAAAAUAUAUAUAUAUAUAUAUGUAUAAAUUUAUAUAUUUGAUUAUAUUAUUAUAUAAUUUUUUUUUAUAUAAUUCUUUUUUCUUUUUAGGAAAUUUAUAUAUAUUAUAUAUAUUUUAUUAUAUUAUUAUUAAAAAUAUAUAUAUAUUCAGGGCAAAUCAUUUCAGCCUCCCAAAUAGCCAUAUAUAUUUUUAGGGCAAAUCAUUUCAGCCUCCCCAAUCGCCUCCAUCUCUAUUCUCGUUCUCAGCUCUGAAAUUGCCUCCUCUCGCUGUUUCAGUUCAGCUUCACCGUUCGCAAGCUUUAGUUGUUGGCUCUCAACUCUCAAGCUUGCCCCCCUCUCUCUCUCUGCAACUGCUAACUUGUAUGUAUGGAUUUUGAUUUAUUUAUUUUUUCUAAAUCAACUAAUCAAGCUCUGUAAUUCUCUGUAAUUUUUUUCUAAAUCAACUAAUCCAUGGCAAGGGCGACCUCUGCUCUCUUCCUUCUUGACAUCAAAGGCCGAGAAACUCUUCACCAAACCCAUUGAGAAAGAGGUUCGAUUUUUGUCUACUUUUUUUAAUCAAAGUCUGUAAUUCUUGUUUUGCAAACUAAAUCCUAUUUGGUGAAAUUUUUUAUGAUCUUUUUAAAAAUAUACAAUAUAUAUAUAUAUAUAUAUAUAUAUAUAUAUAUAUAUAUAUAUAUAUAUGCCAAAUCUGAGAACCCCUGCCUCUCUCUCUCUCUCUCUCUCUGAAAUAGCAAUAGCUAUUUCUUAUGCUACAAUUGGCAAAACUUUUGGCGAAGUUAAAAAUUGGCAGCCCUUUUAGCAUUGCAUUGGAGAGCCCCUUUUGAAGCCCCCUUGCUAUAUUUUAGAAAUGACAGCCCUUUUAGCAUUGGAUUGGAGAUGCUCUAAGGACACUUGGCUCUGGAGCUUGGAGAAGCUUGUUUGAUGUGCCCUUUUCUCACCUACCAGCCAUUGUUUGUCACUCCUGUAGCUUGUGAGCCACAAUCUCAAUGUCUUUAGUUUAUGAACCAGUGUCAUGAUUCCAGAAGGUAACAGGUGUUUUGUCCAGCUAAUAUGGGUUGUUGGAAGAGCAGACUUGGACCUAUGACAUUAUUUCACAAAACAGUUGCCUUAAGGGUCUUGAAUCAUAUUCCACACAUUCUACCAUUAAGGUUUUUCCUAUUAUGUUUUUAUUUUUUAAGGAGUGUACAGCUGGUUUGUUGUCCAAUUACUGCUAAAAGUUUGUUUCUUUUGUGACUGGACAAAUAGCUUGGUUGAUGUAAUUUAUUUGUGUCAGUAUGUUGAGGAGAGACACGAUUGAUAUGUAUUAGACUAUUUCAUCCUCUUAAUUUACUUUUUUGGCUUUUUAUUUUUAUAAACUUUUAAGUGAAAAUUGAGAUGAUUGUCAAAAAGUAAAACGUCUGAGCAGGAUCUGGUGCUGGUAGUAAGGAGAUGAAGGUGGGGAGAAAGGAAGAGGGCCCUAGUCCUUGUUCAAGUUACGACAUUGUCACUGUCGCAACCUCUUCUACAGCAAGUAUACCAUGCUUAGGCUUGGUGAUGGGUUGGAAUAAAAGGCAUGGGUUGCAUUCUAGUAUUGAAUGCUAACUUAGACUUCUCCCAACAUUAUUUUCCCCUAGUUUGGAUAUGUCUCAUCUGCCAUCAUGUUUCCUGCAUUGAUCAAACCUUCAUGCUGAUCCGUUCACUGUUUUAUUUACCAUUUCUCACACACACACUUUUGUUUGACACUUUUAUAUUUAGAAAAAAAUUGUAGUUCACUUGGUCAUAAUUUCAUGUUAUUGUAUUCUAGAUGAAGGUUUAAUUGUGUUUUCAUUUUGGAAUAUCUUUUGAAUUUGUAAGUGAUAGAAGGAUAUAUAAAUGUUAGUAGAUGUUUAUACAAUGGCAGAAUUGGAUGAGAAUAUGCAUGAUGUUGAGGGCUUCAGUAUUGUUCCCUUGUUCAUUUAAAUAUUAUCUUACAAUGUUGGUUUGAGUGAGUGUAAUGUGGAAUUAUGAGGAAUUUCUUUAGAUAACAAGUGAGAUGUUUGAUGCUUCCCCAUGCUCAGAUCCAAGGGUUAGUUUUUUAGUUAUCCCAAGAUAUGAAUCCCUGUCGUGAUUUAGAGCGAGGAUUCAUGUUUUAGGGCUGCUGGAUAAGGACAGUUGCUUCUGGAGCUUGGAGAAGCUUGUUUAAUGUGCCCUUUUCUCACCUACCAGCCAUUGUUUGCCACUUCUGUAGCUUGCAACCGCAGAUUUGGAUCUCAAUGUCCUUAGUUUAUGAAUGAUUCCUGAAGGUAACAGGUGUUUUGUCCAGCUAAUAUGGGUUGUUGGAAAGAGCAGACUUGCACACCCUACCUACGACAUUAUUCCACACAUUCUACCGUCAAGUUUAGCUGCCAUGACGAUUGCUCUUUAAUAUGAUAACAGACAAGAAUCCACGUGGUAGAGAUGCAUGAACUUGAUGAUGCAAACAUGGAGAUGGAGAUUUGCCAUCCAAGCCUUUGGUUGCAACCUUUAUGAACGGAGUAUGAUUGGUGUUGCUGGCUUUUAACCAUUUCAAAGUUUAAACAUGCUGUGCUGGUCCCUGAAGCAAAUUUUCUCAGCCAUUUCUGUGUUAAUAGGGAUUGAUGAUGAGGUGAUGACACGAAAGCCUACCCCACACCUCCAACAAAGAAAAAACACAUACGAAGUUGCAGGAGAUUUAUGCGAGAAGAUGCUGCGGAGUGUUGGUUUCAAAUUCUACUUUCAUUAUUCAUUCAUCUUAUGGAACUUAUAGGUCGGUCGUUUUGGAUUGUCCGAGGAAAAGGUUGUGAGUUGUGACUGAUUGGCGUUUGAUUGGCCAAUUUGGACCAAUCAUGCCUAGGGCUUUAGAUACACUUUUGGCCAAUGGAACAGCAGGGGAAGUAAGUAAGCGGCACUUGGAAAGCACUUGGAAAGACACUAAAUAGCAGCAAUAAGUUUGACAAAAUGCCUAAAAGAACAUGUAUUUUAUUGUCUAAAGCUAUGUGCUUUUUAGCCACGAACAAUCUCAUACCGCCCCACUCAUACCGUUUAAGUGGUUAAGAAGGUCGUGGAAAUUCAUGUCAUUAGUCUCCACUAGUUGAUUUA